GCUACCAUGCAGUCGACGCGAAAGGGCCCUUCGGGGCGCGAGUAGAGUGGCGGACGGGUGAGUAACACGUGGAUGACCUGCCCCCGGGAGGGGGACAACCCCGGGAAACCGGGGCUAAUACCGCAUGAUCCGGCGGCCGUAGGGGCGGUCGGGAAAGCGCAUGCGCCUGGGGAGGGGUCCGCGGCCGAUUAGCUGGUUGGCGGGGUAAGGGCCCGCCAAGGCGACGAUCGGUAGCCGGCCUGAGAGGGCGCGCGGCCACACUGGCACUGAGACACGGGCCAGACUCCUGCGGGAGGCAGCAGUGGGGAAUCUUGGACAAUGGGGGCAACCCUGAUCCAGCGACGCCGCGUGACCGAGGAAGGCCCUCGGGUCGUAAAGGUCUUUCAGCGGGGACUAUGGUGAAGGUACCCGCAGAAGCAGGAGCGGCUAACUACGUGCCAGCAGCCGCGGUAAUACGUAGGCUCCAAGCGUUGUUCGGAAUCACUGGGCGUAAAGCGAGCGCAGGCGGCGCGCCGUGCCGGUCGUGAAAUCUCCCGGCUCAACCGGGAGGGGGCGGCCGGGACUGGCGGGCUAGAGUGCGGCAGGGGAAGGCAGAAUUCCUGGUGUAGCGGUGGAAUGCGUAGAGAUCAGGAGGAAUGCCGGAGGUGAAGACGGCCUUCCGGGCCGCCACUGACGCUGAGGCUCGAAAGCGUGGGGAGCGAACAGGAUUAGAUACCUGGUAGUCCACGCCCUAAACGAUGCAUACUUGGUGUGGCCCUUCAGUGGGUCCGUGCCGGAGCGAACGCGUUAAGUAUGCCGCCUGGGGAGUACGGUCGCAAGGCUGAACUC
rnacentral:rRNA from 1 species